GUGCUUGCUUUUGCAGCGCAUACACUAAAAUUGGACCAAUACAGAGAUUAGCAUGGCCCCUGUGCAAAAUGACAUGCAAAUUUGUGAAGUGCUCCAUAUUUUU